UACAAAACACGGGGCUAAUUUUGCAGGUGAUGUAAUUAAUUUUUGUGGCUCAGAGCUGUACUAGGAACAAGAGAAAUUGUUGUUUUGGGGAUUGUUUAAAAAGUGAUUCAGCAGGUGUGUGUAGCUUUCGGGUAAACCUGUCGGUUUACACUCUGCCACUUUCCUUAGCCACACGCGGAACGUGAGUCGCUCCAACGAUCGGGGAAGAUGGUGGCCUGGCAGUUUAUCCUGAGCAAACUCAGGCCCUCCUGACGGUAGAAGAAGUGAUGGAUUCAGCUGUGGGGUUACGCACGGCCUUGCAUUAAUAAGAGCGAGGGAAAGAGAGGGAGAGAGAAGGAGAGAAACAUGGAUGUGCAAGAGAAAUGCUGAUCAGCUGCCUCGCUCUCAUCAGUGCCCCAACUCGGGGACCAAACCUGCAACCCAGUCAUGCACCCUGACCAGGAAUCAAACUUGUGACCUUUCACUUUGAGAGAUGACGCCCAGCCAACUGAGCCCCACUGGUCAGGGCAAAAAUAACUAAUAUGUUUUUAAAAGGUAAUAGUAGCUCCCACGACAUGUUACUACUGUUCAGGAACUUCCAUUCAGUGACCAGUCCUCAGAACACGGCAGGACGGGCAGGAGUCCUCCCAUCCCCCCGGAGGAACACUCACUCAGGCUCACGGCCAAAUCCUGGGGGGCUCCGGAGCCAGGUCCUUACAGAGGGUCCCGGCUGCACUUCCACCGCAGCUGCAGGCUGGGGGCGUUACAAAGAGAACAUCCAGUUGGAAAAGCCUGAAGUAUUUACCGUCCAGCUCCGAACUGGCUCCAGGCCCCCAGUGGGGACACGGUAGGCAGUCCAGAAAUGCCUGGCGGUUGGAUGACUGAGGGUCCCUGGCUACCCUACCUGCAAGAUCUGGUGAUGCAUCGAGUCAUCAGUGGCCCUUGAUGUGUUAAUCCCCCAGAGGCGUGAAGCUGAUGACCUUGGACAAGACCUUUGACCUUUCUGAGCUUUGGUUUCUAUUUCUAUGAAAUAAAAAUUGAACCAGAUGCUUCCUGGCCGGGAGAGGAGAGGUGUCUUCCUAACCCUAAAAUUCCACAGCUACAUCAGCAUACCUGCUUGCAAAGGACUUCCCAUUUCUGUUUCAUCCUGUUCCCACCAGGGAGCUGGUGAAGGAGGGUCUGUUUGUACAGCGUUUAGAGAAAGAGAUCUUCCAGCCCGACAAAUAAAAGAAUCUCACUUUCUCAUUUUCAAGUGUUCUGCCUUCGGCACGUCUGUCUUCAUUCUAUAGCCUUUUAUGUUUUGAACUGUAAUCUGCAGCCCGGACCUGUUCCAAGAGGCCCCACGGCACUUUUCGAAGUGGGGCUGUUUGGAUGAAAAGAGAGAAAAAAGAAUACGGUAAUAGCUUUAGGCUGUCAUCAAAAUAACUUGGAAACCCUACUCCAGGUGGAAUUCUAAAGAGCGACCAUACAAAGAUUUCUCCCAGUGUUUCAGUCUAGACUCCUCUGAAAUGUCUGAAAGUGUGUGCGUAAUCAUUAACUUUUAUUGGGGACACACCAGGCUCGAUCUCGGAAACAAGGCAAUUACUCGCUAGCUCUUCAUCGGCCCUCCGCCCGCCACCCCCCCCACCCGCUGGCAGCAGGAUCUGCGUGGAGCAGCGCAGAGUUUGGACGGAGACUUUCCCGGGCCCUUUCCAGGCAUUACACUCAGGGGAAGGCCAUAAAACUGGCAUCCGGCACCACACGCUCUCACCGCUGGACGCGAGCGCACUUGGCUGUGAAAUUGUGUUCUCGGGCUCGGACUAGAACCAAACCACAGAGUCUCAAUGUCCUGUUUGCGACCAGUGUUUUCAUUGCUUUGAUCUUUUUUUGGUGGCGAUGCCAGUCACCAGCAUCAGAACUGUAUUUUCUCUACCCUCUGUCACAGCAGACGGCGUCCGUGCGCUUCAAUGACCAGGGCUCACCACGUCUGCGUCCCCUCCGCCGGUCACCCCGGGGACUCUGGGAUCCCUUUCCGCUCUCUGGCACCCAAGUCUGUGUAACUGCAGAGGUUGUCUCAGGUGGAGCAGAAGUGAAACACCAGCACCCGCUGUUGCCAAUACAGACCGUCCCUGAUUUUUCUAGAAAGUUAACCGAGCUUGGAUGGCCAUGUUGGCUAUGAUACUGGUUGGUGGUUCACAGAGAGAAUGUUCACGGCUUGAACACAAGGGAGGAAGAUCAAACCCACAACCUGGGCACGUGUCAGGAAAUCAGACCUGCGACCUUCCGGUCCUCGUGACAACACUGCAACGGACCGAGCCACACCGACCGGGGCUGUCAUCCCUAUUUUGAAAACAUGCCAGCAUUCACAGGUCUUUGUGCCCUCACUGACGUUUAGAUCUGCAGUCAACAAACCUUUCCUACAGAGAGUCAGACGGCACGUAUUCUAGGCUUUGCAGGUCAAACGUCCUCUGUCACUCAGCGACCGCCGCGGGGCUGCAGCCUCGGACGGUGUGACCACAAACAGGCGUGUCCCAGUAACAGUUCGCGGGGACGGGCAGACAAUCUGGUUUCCUUGUUCUCGUUCACUGGUCUUUCGGGUGUCCCCUUGGGGACCCCCGUUCCCAGCCUUCACCGGGCUUCUCUCUCACUUAACAGCUUGUAGCAGCGCUUGGUAAAUUCUCAAUGUGCUUCACUGGGUGUUCACAGACAUUGCUACUCAGCUUUCAGUCUGUUGCUUGCAUCACCUCUGGUUUGGUUGUUAGAAGGACUGGAGUUUCUAAGUUUAAUCGACUGUGAAUUUGUUCACUUAUAGUUUGUUCUUUCUGAGUCUUGGUGAAGAAAUCCUCUCAAUAUCAUUUUCUCCUGAUUUUCCAAAUGUUGCCAAUUUUGCUUCUUACAUUUAACUCACCUGGAAUUUAUGCAUGAGUUUGCUAUGAAGUAAAAUCAGUUUAUUCUUUUCUAUAAGCACCAUCAGUUGCUCAGCCCUAAUUAUUGACUAGUCCGUCCUUGUGUUGCCGAUCUACCGGAGGGGAGAAAGCACGUCUUUCUCCUUGUACCCUCUGGGUUCUCCACUGGGGCUCUGCAAUGGCAGCUCGACAGGCAGAGAUGCAUUAGAACAUGGAUGCAAGUUUUACGUGACAUGGAGCCUCCCUUAAGACAGGAGGACCCAGAGAAACAGUCACACCUCAGUGUUUCGUCUGAGGCCAUAGGAAACACGGAAAGACAAAGGGGUGUGAGCUCAGGGUGGUAAACUGGGAGAGACAGCAGGGCCCAGCAUUCUGCCUCCCCGGCCUCCCCGGCCCCCCAGCCUCCGUCGAGGAGGCUGCUCCUUUCCUCCAGGGACCCGGAUGCACCUCUCACAGGAAGGUUUUACGACCUGCUUCAGGGGGAGGUCAGAAUCCUUCCUGCACUGGCCAUUUUUCAAAUGGCUUCAGUUUAAAAUGUUCACUGAGCCAGGGCGCCGUGUCCUGGGGAAGCACAUCCCGAACGCCGUCCCCAUGGCACCACCAGUACCACGUAAAUAUCAUCUUACAGCUGCGGGUUUACUGUCGGGCCCUACUCCUGAAGCCUGUCUGUUUCUGGGCCGGCUCCAGACGUACCAGUCCCCGCAAAUCCCUAACAAGCCCUGCUGUUUGGAAGGGCCACGGCCCUCCCCCUGCUUUCCAGCUCGCCUUACUUCUUCAGAAUGGUCUUAACUACUUUUGGUUGUUUGCUCUUCUGUAUACACUGCAGGGUAAGCUUGUCAAUUCCUCAAAAUUCCUUAUGGGACUUCCGAUUGGCUCUACACUAAAUUUAGGUAUUCAUUCUGGAGCGCAUUAGCAUCUUUAUGAGAUGCUGACCAUUUCCAUAAAGAUGGUAUACAGCCUUCCCUCUCUUGUUUCAAUACACACACUUUAAAUAAUUUUUUAAACUGUAGUUUAUGUUAUAAAUUAUAUGUUUUAUAAUUUUCUCUAUAAAUGUCUUACGCAUCUUCUGUUACAUUUAUUCCUUAGUUAUAUAAAUUCUCUUGCUCAUGUAAGUGGUAGUUUUAAAAUUAUAGUACUUCUGGUGUAUAGAAAUACCCUUGAGUUUUAUAUAUUUAUCUGAAAUCCAGCAACUAUGAUAAACUCUUGGUUCCAAAAAGUUUAUUAGUUCUAAAAUUCCCUUGGGUUUUUAUGUGGAUGUCCCUAAUAUCUGUGACCUAUGACAGUUCUGUGUUUUUCUUCCACCUGGCACCUUCUACUAAUGUUUUCUGUUCUUAAUGCCUAAGCGAGGACCUGACUCUGUCACCCGCUUGGACACAAGGGGUGAUGGAGGACACCGCUGCUUCCUGCCUGCCAUCGAAGGACUGUUUCUCAUUUAACCUCUAAGUGUGGUAUUUGCUGGGGGUUUUCAGCAGAUGCCCCUGCCCUCCCACUGUGAAAAAUCCUGUUUCUAGUGAGCUGCAAGUCUUUACCCUGAAAUAGUUUUUAUUAAUUAACGUUUUAUUAUGGAAGUAAGAUACGCUCAGAGAAGCAGCAAUGAAUCAAGUAGAACGACCUUUCCCAGCCCCAGCCCUUCUCCUCAAAGUCACUGACAGGAGCACAGCACCUGUACCACGAUCACACAGGACCGCACGGCGCGACCACCCCACCGUCGCAGGUUAGACCGCUGACAUAAAAUCUUGGGGCUGCAACAUGCCCUCCGAAUGCCCAUCAGAAGCUGAAUUUUCUCCAGCAUCUGGCCGUCUGCACAGCUCUGGGUU